UACGUAGGUGGCAAGCGUUGUCCGGAAUUAUUGGGCGUAAAGCGCGCGCAGGCGGCCUUGUAAGUCUGUCGUUUAAACUCGGAGCUCAACUUCGAGUCGCGAUGGAAACUGCAAAGCUUGAGUGCAGAAGAGGAAAGUGGAAUUCCACGUGUAGCGGUGAAAUGCGUAGAGAUGUGGAGGAACACCAGUGGCGAAGGCGACUUUCUGGGCUGUAACUGACGCUGAGGCGCGAAAGCGUGGGGAGCAAACAGG
rnacentral:rRNA from 1 species